rnacentral:lncRNA from 1 species
UGCAGGUGAAGUCAGAGGGUUGAUCUCUGUGUGUUGUGACACACAAGAGGUGACAUGACACUUGGUAGGAGGAGAGGACUCUGAUCCUGUUUUAUGGAUAGUUCGUGUGCUGUCCUCUCAAAAGGGUGGAAAGAAUGUGCAAAUGUGGGCACUCCCGUACCAUUUGAAUGAUCUCCUCUGGACCCCGCGGGAUUCGAUUUGCCCUCUCAGUCCAUCGUGCUGACUCCAGGAGCACAGUGUGUGGAUUCCCGAGGGUGGCCGGUCAGGCCAGCUCCACGUUUAUAUUUGCCUUGGCCUUCUGAGCUUCCCUUGCCUCUCCUUCAUGCGCAGACCUACCGUGCUGCUUCUUCUCCACUUCAGAGAACAGCCGUGGGCGCUGUGCAGUGAAUCCUGAGGGGAGUCACUGCCUUUCUCAGUGUCCCCCAGCAGUCAGACACAGCGGCCUUCCAGAGGGCCGAAAGGCCCGUAGUCGAGCCAGCUCUCGGAUCAACUGGGGGACUAUUGUCGUGGGGGCGUUGCUGAGCUGCCGUGUGUGAAAUAUGGUUAAAGCCGGGGACCGCGCAGCUGGGCCACUUCUCCAGAGCCCAGGAGAGAUGGGCUGGGUACUGAAAGAUUUGCUACGUGUGUCCAUUCUAUGUUGUCUUCUUAUUACACAAAAUAAUAAUAAUAAUAAUGGUAAUUAUUAUUAUUAUUAUUAUUAUUAUUAUUAGAGGAGGGUGGACGGAAACUUUGGAGGGGAUGGGUCUGUUUAUGGCACAGGUUUUGGUAAUGGUUCACAGAUGUCUACCUAUUUCCACAGUCUUUAAAUCAUAUACAUUAAAUAUGUACAGCUCUUUUGGGUCAUUCUUUCCUUCAUCCCUCAAGAAAGUGGUUUCAGAAAAUAAUAUUAAAGGCCCUCCCGUGACUACAGAUGAGCGCUCCCUCUCAAAUGUCUUUAGCUUUAGGACUGAAGGGAAGACUGCUUCUCCAUGGUUAAAGGGGUAACGGCGUUGACUGCGUGUGGAUUCUUUUGGGCCUUGGAUUUUCCACUUAUGUGGAGCCUUAGCAUUGGCCGUGUGUAAGGAUAACUUUUAGUUCACAGGGUGUUGACUUUCCUAGACUCACAGCAGUUCUCCAGAACCCAUGAACUUCACCUGAAGGACUUCGACUCAGAGAUGGGGCCUGUGACAUCAGCUACUUCUCAUGUGACCAGAAAUUGAUGUUGGGGUACUGUGACUUUGGCAUUAGGUUGGACUUUGGGUUGUUUUCCUUGUUUACAACAUGUGCUUUUGUGCUUACUCAAGAAAUCUUUUGAAAUACUGUACAUGUGGAGACGUGUCCAGCUGUGUGUGUCCUGUCCGUGUAUUCUACAGGGUGAGCGCCGAGGUCUCAGGCUGAGUAGCCUUUCCAGUAGGAGCCUUUUCUCAGAGACCUUCCCUCACGCUCUGUUUACUGUGUGACUGAGUUCCCUGGCCAUACCAACUCGGUGUGAUACUUUUCUGCUAUCCUCAUUGCUGUGUCUUUACAAUGUGUUUGCUGCUUGUGUUUCUUGCAUUUUAAAGAACCCUUGUGUUCUCCCAAU